rnacentral:rRNA from 1 species
GACGAACGCUGGCGGCGUGCUUAACACAUGCAAGUCGAACGGAAAGGCCCUGCUUUGUGGGUGCUCGAGUGGCGAACGGUGAGUAACACGUGAGUAACCUGCCCUUGACUUUGGGAUAACUUCAGGAAACUGGGGCUAAUACCGGAUAGGAGCUCCUGCUGCAUGGUGGGGUUGGAAAGUUUCGGCGGUUGGGGAUGGACUCGCGGCUUAUCAGCUUGUUGGUGGGUAGUGGCUUACCAAGGCUUUGACGGGUAGCCGGCCUGAGAGGGUGACCGGCCACAUUGGGACUGAGAUACGGCCCAGACUCCUACGGGAGGCAGCAGUGGGGAAUAUUGCACAAUGGGCGGAAGCCUGAUGCAGCAACGCCGCGUGCGGGAUGACGGCCUCGGUGUAACGCUUCGUCCUCGUGACGAAGACGUGAGUGACGGUAA